UGCCAUUGUACACACCCAGGGAUGUCCAC
rnacentral:piRNA from 1 species